GACGAACGCUGGCGGUAUGCUUAACACAUGCAAGUCGAACGAGAAGUCUUUUAUUGAACCUUCGGGGGAUAUAAGAGACAGACAGUGGUGAACGGGUGAGUAACGCGUGGGCAACCUACCUAUCGGAGCGGGAUAGCCUCGAGAAAUCGGGAGUAAAACCGCAUAACACGGAUAUAUCGCAUGAUGAAUCCGUCAAAACUCCGGUGCCGAUAGAUGGGCCCGCGUCUGAUUAGCUAGUUGGUAAGGUAAGGGCUUACCAAGGCAACGACCAGUAGCCGGUCUGAGAGGGCGAACGGCCACACUGGAACUGAGACACGGUCCAGACUCCUACGGGAGGCAGCAGUGGGGAAUAUUGCGCAAUGGGGGCAACCCUGACGCAGCAAUACCGCGUGAGUGAAGAAGGUUUUCGGAUCGUAAAGCUCUGUUAUUGGGGAAGAAGCAGGACGGUAC
rnacentral:rRNA from 1 species